GUCGGUGUUUCCACUUGGGGUGCAAAGACUCACUAGAAACCAUGAAGGCAGCUUCCUGGGUCAGAGCACCGAAGUGAAACACCCUGGAAAAGGAAUUCUGGGGAACAUAGCACAGCCUGGCCAAGCUGCCACGUCCCCAAGCCUCCACACGACCGUCAUCUGCUUCACAGGACGUCAAGCAAAGAGAACGGGCAACUCAUGCUCAGAAAACCCAAACACCGAUGGCUUUCAGGCAAGGGUUUUUAAAGACAGUGUGAGGAAAUGUAACACUGGACACUAUAAAACUCUUAGAGAAAAACACAGGAAGAACACUCUUUGACAUAAAUCACAGCAAGAUCUUUUUUGAUCCACCUCCUAGAGUAAUGGAAAUAAAAACAAAUGGGACCUAAUGAAACUUAAAAGCUUUUGCAAAGCAAAGGAAACUACAAACAAGAUGAAAAGACAACCCUCAGAAUGGGAGAAAAUAUUUGCAAACGAAUCAAUGGACAAAGGAUUAAUCUCCAAAAUAUAUAAACAGCUCAUGCUGCUCAAUAUUAAAAAAACAAACAACCCAAUCCAAAAAUGGGCAGAAGACCUAAGUAGACAUUUCUCCAAAGAAGACAUACAGGUGGCCAAGAAGCACAUGAAAAGCUGCUCAACAUCACUAAUUAUUAGAGAAAUGCAAAUCAAAACUACAAUGAGGUAUCACCUCACACCAGUUAGAAUGGGCAUCAUCAGAAAAUCUACAAACAAC